rnacentral:rRNA from 1 species
CACGUAGGGCGCGAGCGUUGUCCGGAAUUAUUGGGCGUAAAGAGCUCGUAGGCGGCUUGUCACGUCGGGUGUGAAAGCCCGGGGCUUAACCCCGGGUCGGCAUUCGAUACGGGCAGGCUAGAGUGUGGUAGGGGAGAUCGGAAUUCCUGGUGUAGCGGUGAAAUGCGCAGAUAUCAGGAGGAACACCGGUGGCGAAGGCGGAUCUCUGGGCCAUUACUGACGCUGAGGAGCGAAAGCGUGGGGAGCGAACAGG